rnacentral:rRNA from 1 species
AGAGUUUGAUCCUGGCUCAGAUUGAACGCUGGCGGCGUGCCUUACACAUGCAAGUCGAACGGUAACAGGUCUUCGGAUGCUGACGAGUGGCGAACGGGUGAGUAAUACAUCGGAACGUGCCCGAUCGUGGGGGAUAACGCAGCGAAAGCUGUGCUAAUACCGCAUACGAUCUACGGAUGAAAGCGGGGGAUCGCAAGACCUCGCGCGGACGGAGCGGCCGAUGGCAGAUUAGGUAGUUGGUGGGAUAAAAGCUUACCAAGCCGACGAUCUGUAGCUGGUCUGAGAGGACGACCAGCCACACUGGGACUGAGACACGGCCCAGACUCCUACGGGAGGCAGCAGUGGGGAAUUUUGGACAAUGGGCGCAAGCCUGAUCCAGCCAUGCCGCGUGCAGGAUGAAGGCCUUCGGGUUGUAAACUGCUUUUGUACGGAACGAAAAAGCUCUCUCUAAUACAGGGGGUGAAUGACGGUACCGUAAGAAUAAGCACCGGCUAACUACGUGCCAGCAGCCGCGGUAAUACGUAGGGUGCAAGCGUUAAUCGGAAUUACUGGGCGUAAAGCGUGCGCAGGCGGUUAUGUAAGACAGAGGUGAAAUCUCCGGGCUUAACCCGGAGGGUGCCUUUGAUACGGCAGGGCUUGAGUGCGAGAGA